AAUUACUUUAUUGAAUUUACUAUUUGGUCUAUAAGCAUUCAUCAUACAUCUUAUAACUGGAUUGAAUUAUUGUUAGUUCUCAUUUUCAAUUCUUUGUUGUAAUAAUCCCUAAAUUGUAUGUGCCUAGAUAAAUCCUGAUUUUGAAGGAAGAAUUUUUCUUUUAA